AACGAACGCUGGCGGCAGGCCUAACACAUGCAAGUCGAACGAGAAGCCACCUUCGGGUGGUGGACAGUGGCAGACGGGUGAGUAACGCGUGGGAACGUGCCUUUCGGUUCGGAAUAACCCAGGGAAACUUGGGCUAAUACCGGAUACGCCCUUACGGGGAAAGAUUUAUUGCCGAAGGAACGGCCCGCGUCCGAUUAGCUAGUUGGUGAGGUAACGGCUCACCAAGGCGACGAUCGGUAGCUGGUCUGAGAGGAUGACCAGCCUCACUGGGACUGAGACACGGCCCAGACUCCUACGGGAGGCUG
rnacentral:rRNA from 1 species